rnacentral:rRNA from 1 species
UACGUAGGGGGCAAGCGUUGUCCGGAUUUAUUGGGCGUAAAGAGCGUGUAGGCGGCUAGAUAGGUCCGUUGUGAAAACUCGAGGCUCAACCUCGAGACGUCGAUGGAAACCAUCUGGCUAGAGUCCGGAAGAGGAGAGUGGAAUUCCUGGUGUAGCGGUGAAAUGCGCAGAUAUCAGGAAGAACACCCGUGGCGAAGGCGGCUCGCUGGGACGGUACUGACGCUGAGGUGCGAAAGCGUGGGGAGCGAACAGG